rnacentral:rRNA from 1 species
AGGACGAACGCUGGCGGCGUGCUUAACACAUGCAAGUCGAGCGGAAAGGCCCUUCGGGGUACUCGAGCGGCGAACGGGUGAGUAACACGUGAGCAAUCUGCCCUUAGCUUCGGGAUAGCUCCGGGAAACCGGAAUUAAUACCGAAUAUGACUACGGUUGACAUCAGCCAUGGUGGAAAGUUUUUCGGCUAGGGAUGAGCUCGCGGCCUAUCAGCUAGUUGGUGGGGUAACGGCCUACCAAGGCGACGACGGGUA